UACGAAGGAUCCAAGCGUUAUCCGGAUUUAUUGGGUUUAAAGGGUGCGUAGGCGGGCUAUUAAGUCAGUGGUGAAAGCCCCAAGCUUAACUUGGGAAUUGCCAUUGAUACUGAUGGUCUUGAGUACACUUGAAAGUGGGCGGAAUGUGUCAUGUAGCGGUGAAAUGCAUAGAUAUGUCACAGAACACCAAUUGCGAAGGCAGCUUACUAAGGUGCAAAUUUGACGCUGAGGCACGAAAAGCCGUGGGGGAGCAAAACAGG
rnacentral:rRNA from 1 species